rnacentral:rRNA from 1 species
GGCCGUGCGGCGUGCUAUACAUGCAGUCGAGCGGAUCUUCAUUAGCUUGCUUUUGAAGAUCAGCGGCGGACGGGUGAGUAACACGUGGGCAACCUGCCUGUAAGACUGGGAUAACUUCGGGAAACCGGAGCUAAUACCGGAUAAUCCUUUCCCUCACAUGAGGGAAAGCUGAAAGACGGUUUCGGCUGUCACUUACAGAUGGGCCCGCGGCGCAUUAGCUAGUUGGUGAGGUAACGGCUCACCAAGGCAACGAUGCGUAGCCGACCUGAGAGGGUGAUCGGCCACACUGGGACUGAGACACGGCCCAGACUCCUACGGGAGGCAGCAGUAGGGAAUCUUCCGCAAUGGACGAAAGUCUGACGGAGCAACGCCGCGUGAACGAUGAAGGCCUUCGGGUCGUAAAGUUCUGUUGUCAGGGAAGAACAAGUACCGGAGUAACUGCCGGUACCUUGACGGUACCUGACCAGAAAGCCACGGCUAACUACGUGCCAGCAGCCGCGGUAAU